rnacentral:rRNA from 1 species
AGUGAACGCUGGCGGUAGGCCUAACACAUGCAAGUCGAACGGCAGCACAGUAAGAGCUUGCUCUUACGGGUGGCGAGUGGCGGACGGGUGAGGAAUACAUCGGAAUCUACUUUUUCGUGGGGGAUAACGUAGGGAAGCUUACGCUAAUACCGCAUACGACCUACGGGUGAAAGCAGGGGAUCUUCGGACCCUGCGCGAUUGAAUGAGCCGAUGUCGGAUUAGCUAGUUGGCGGGGUAAAGGCCCACCAAGGCGACGAUCCGUAGCUGGUCUGAGAGGAUGAUCAGCCACACUGGAACUGAGACACGGUCCAGACUCCUACGGGAGGCAGCAGUGGGGAAUAUUGGACAAUGGGCGCAAGCCUGAUCCAGCCAUACCGCGUGGGUGAAGAAGGCCUUCGGGUUGUAAAGCCCUUUUGUUGGGAAAGAAAAGCAGCAGGUUAAUACCCCGCUGUUCUGACGGUACCCAAAGAAUAAGCACCGGCUAACUUCGUG